rnacentral:rRNA from 1 species
UCCUACGGGAGGCAGCAGUGAGGAAUAUUGGGCAAUGGGCGCAAGCCUGACCCAGCCAUGCCGCGUGCAGGAUGACGGCGCUAUGCGUUGUAAACUGCUUUUAUUCGGGAAGAAACCCAUCUACGUGUAGGUGGUUGACGGUACCGAAAGAAUAAGCAUCGGCUAACUCCGUGCCAGCAGCCGCGGUAAUACGGAGGAUGCGAGUGUUAUCCGGAUUCAUUGGGUUUAAAGGGUGCGUAGGCGGAAUAUUAAGUCAGCGAUGAAAUCCUGCAGCUUAACUGUAGAACUGUCAUUGAUACUGGUAUUCUUGAAUGCAGUUGAGGUAGGCGGAAUGUGUAAUGUAGCGGUGAAAUGCUUAGAUAUUACACAGAACACCGAUUGCGAAGGCAGCUUACUAAACUGUGAUUGACGCUGAGGCACGAAAGCGUGGGGAGCAAACAGGAUUAGAUACCCUGGU